UACGUAGGGUGCGAGCGUUAAUCGGAAUUACUGGGCGUAAAGUGUGCGCAGGCGGCGUCGCAAGUCGAGUGUGAAAGCCCCGGGCUUAACUUGGGAAUUGCGCUCGAAACUACGAUGCUGGAGUGUGGCAGAGGAAGGUGGAAUUCCACGUGUAGCAGUGAAAUGCGUAGAUAUGUGGAGGAAUACCGAUGGCGAAGGCAGCCCCCUGGGCUAAGAUUGACGCUCAUGCACGAAAGCGUGGGGAGCAAACAGG
rnacentral:rRNA from 1 species